rnacentral:rRNA from 1 species
CUCCUACGGGAGGCAGCAGUGGGGAAUAUUGGACAAUGGACCAAGAGUCUGAUCCAGCAAUUCUGUGUGCACGAUGAAGUUUUUCGGAAUGUAAAGUGCUUUCAGUUGGGAAGAAAGAAAUGACGGUACCAACAGAAGAAGUGACGGCUAAAUACGUGCCAGCAGCCGCGGUAAUACGUAUGUCACGAGUGUUAUCCGGAUUUAUUGGGCGUAAAGCGCGUCUAGGUGGUUAUAUAAGUCUGAUGUGAAAAUGCAGGGCUCAACUCUGUAUUGCGUUGGAAACUGUAUAACUAGAGUACUGGAGAGGUAAGCGGAACUACAAGUGUAGAGGUGAAAUUCGUAGAUAUUUGUAGGAAUGCCGAUGGGGAAGCCAGCUUACUGGACAGAUACUGACGCUGAAGCGCGAAAGCGUGGGUAGCAAACAGGAUUAGAUACCCUGGUAGUCCACGCCGUAAACGAUGAUUACUAGGUGUUGGGGGUCGAACCUCAGCGCCCAAGCAAACGCGAUAAGUAAUCCGCCUGGGGAGUACGUACGCAAGUAUGAAACUCAAAGGAAUUGACGGGGGCCCGCACAAG